GCUCGGGUGGCGGAAUGGUAGACGCAGCGGACUUAAAAUCCGCUGGCUUAACGGCCGUACGGGUUCGAGUCCCGUCCCGAGUA
rnacentral:tRNA from 1 species